rnacentral:rRNA from 1 species
CAAUAGCGUAUAUUAAAGUUGUUGCGGUUAAAAAGCUCGUAGUUGGAGUUCUGCCAGGUGCCGCCUGUCCGCCCCAGUGGUGAGUACGUGGCGCGCAUUUGGCCCUUUCAAGGGGAGCGUAUCUGCACUUUAUUGUGUGGUGCGGGAUCCUUGACUUUUACUUUGAGGAAAUAGGAGUGUUCCAAGCAGGCUCUCGUCGUGCACAGCUCAGCAUGGAAUAAUAGCAUUGGACCUCGAUUCUAAGCUGUUGGUUGCCAGAAGCGAGGUAAUGAUGAAGAGGGAUAGUUGGGGGCAUUCGUAUUUAACUGUCAGAGGUGAAAUUCUUGGAUUUGUUAAAGACGGACUACUGCGAAGGCAUCUGCCAUGGAUGUUUUCAUUGA